rnacentral:lncRNA from 1 species
AACUCACGGAACCCUAAUUUCAUUUUGCUUCAUGUGAGCCAGUUAGUGCUUAAGUGACCCGAGUAGGCUAGGUUAGGAAGUUAAUCACUCUAGUUUAGCCAAAUUUCAAAAGCGAGGGAGGAUUGUGGGUUGUGCCCUGUCCAUGUAUCUCAAGAUGUUCUUGAUGAAUCAAUCAAUGCAUGGUUAGUGUUUCUAAUCUUGUCUCCCUUGCCCAUUUUCCUUUUUUUUGAAUUCCGGAGGUCUUUUAGAGGAUUUUUCGUUCUUGAGAUUGGGCAUGGUUUUGAUGCAAAACAUGCGGAGGAUCCGUGUGUUAGGAUGUGACUUCACUUGCCCAUCCUUUGGCUCAUAGUUCACAUGAGCACUUCAGAUUUGAGGAUUUGGUGAAGUUGCCCCCUCUCAAGUGUUCUUCGUUGGAUCAAUUCUUCAUCCUUUUGUGUGGAUCUUGUUCGUGGAGGUUCACUUUGCUCAGAUCAAGCCUGCGUCUAAGUUUCGUUGGAUUUAGAGUUCGUCCGCUCGGCUUCCUCAAAUUUGGAUUUUGAAUCAGGUUGCUCCUCGUGGGGUUUUGAUGAGUACCAGAUAUCCGAUGAAAUUUAAUGUGGUCACAUCGGACACCCGGUGAGUGCAUGAGUCGGCCGGGAUUCAUCUCUGCUGUGGAGUUUUAUUCUCACCGAGAUUUCCGGUGGUCAUGUCUGUGACCACCCACGAAUGUAUGUGACCACUGGUGAGUCGUGGGUGUAACAUCCUGCAAAUUUAUGAAAUGUUAAUUUUGAGCAAAAAGUGAAAAAUUCAAAUUUUUUGUUUGAAUUGUAUGAACCAUGAAAAUAAAUUGCAAAUUAAGGUUAAAAUUUCUUUUUCACUUCCAAAAUCUCUAGAAAAUGAAAAUGGUCCACUAAAAUAUUUAAGCAUGACCUUGCAGGAAUGAGUUGAAUUAUUAUUUGGAGUUCUUUUGGGCUGAAUUCAAAUUUGAAAUCUAAAUUCAAAUUUGAAUUAGAAAAACAAAAACAAACUUCCUAAACUUACCUGGGCCGAAACCACGCCCGGCCUGCGAAACCGCGCUGGCCUCCUUUACUUCGCCGGCCUGCCCACCACACCGCCUGGGCCGAAACCAGCUGGCUCUCCCGGCGCAGCAACUGGCCCACCGGCCUGCCCGUCCGCUCACGCCAGCGCCGCGCGCACACCUUCGCUCGCUCUUGCCGACAGGUGGGACCCACCUGUCAGCUUUCUCUCCUACCUCCACCUCCUCCGCUGACCGCUCUGUGCCGCGCCGCCCCGUACUGCUCCACACCCCGCACCGCGACAAAGAAGCCGCGGGAUCCUUCCAGACCCAUGCGCCGCGCACCCCGUGACCCCGCACUCACCAACCUGCACCCCGGAGCUGUUAGAUGCUCACCACGCUGCCUCGCGCGCGUAUCCUGAAGAUCACUAGCCAUCCUCCCCGUCCCGACGCCCAAACCCUACGUGCGCCGCUAUAUAACCCUUCGCCUGCACUGUUCUGGGCAGCCGCUUGC